rnacentral:rRNA from 1 species
UUAGUGGCGGACGGGUGAGUAACACGUGAGCAACCUGCCUUUCAGGAGGGGGAUAACGUUUGGAAACGAACGCUAAUACCGCAUAAAAUAUCGGAGUCGCAUGGCACUGAUAUCAAAGGAGUAAUCCGCUGAAAGAUGGGCUCGCGUCCGAUUAGGCAGUUGGCGGGGUAACGGCCCACCAAACCGACAAUCGGUAGCCGGACUGAGAGGUUGAACGGCCACAUUGGGACUGAGACACGGCCCAGACUCCUACGGGAGGCAGCAG